rnacentral:rRNA from 1 species
UCUACCGUAAACGAUGACACCAGCGAUUAGUCGGUGUUAAUAUACGACCCGACUAGCAGCUUCCGGGAAACCAAAGUUUUUCGUUUCCGGGGGAAGUAUGGUUGCAAAGCUGAAACUUAAAGGAAUUGACGGAAGGGCACCACCAGGAGUGGAGCCUGCGGCUUAAUUUGACUCAACACGGGAAAACUCACCCGGCCCGGACACCGUAAGGAUUGACAGACUGAGAGCUCUUUCUUAAUUCGGUGGGUGGUGGUGCAUGGCCGUUCUUAGUUGGUGGAGCGAUUUGUCUGGUUAAUUCCGAUAACGAACGAGACUCUGGCCUAUUAAAUAGUCGGUAUAUCCAGAAAAGUUUACCGUACUUCUUAGAGGGACAAACGGCGUCUAGCCGCGUGAAAUAGAGCAAUAACAGGUCUGUGAUGCCCUUAGAUGUCCGGGGCUGCACGCGCGCUACACUGAAAGAAUCAGUAUGCGCUUUAACCUAGUCCGGAAGGAUUGGGUAACCCGAGCAAAUUCUUUCGUGCUUGGGAUAGGGAAUUGCAAUUAUUUCCCUUAAACGAGGAAUUCCCAGUAAAUGCGGGUCAUAAGCUCGCGUUGAUUACGUCCCUGCCCUUUGUACACACCGCCCGUCGCUACUACCGAUUGGAUGACUUAGUGAGGUCUUAGGACCGACGUAAAGGAGCCUUCGCGAGUUCUUUUUCGUUGGAAAUUUGAUCGAACUACGUUAUCUAGAGGAAGUAAAAGUCGUAAACAGGUUUCCGU